rnacentral:rRNA from 1 species
AUGAACGCUGGCGGCGCGCCUAACACAUGCAAGUCGAACGGCACCCCUCUCCGGAGGGAAGCGAGUGGCGAACGGCUGAGUAACACGUGGAGAACCUGCCCCCUCCCCCGGGAUAGCCGCCCGAAAGGACGGGUAAUACCGGAUACCCCGGGGUGCCGCAUGGCACCCCGGCUAAAGCCCCGACGGGAGGGGAUGGCUCCGCGGCCCAUCAGGUAGACGGCGGGGUGACGGCCCACCGUGCCGACAACGGGUAGCCGGGUUGAGAGACCGACCGGCCAGAUUGGGACUGAGACACGGCCCAGACUCCUACGGGAGGCAGCAGUGGGGAAUCUUGCGCAAUGGGGGGAACCCUGACGCAGCGACGCCGCGUGCGGGACGGAGGCCUUCGGGUCGUAAACCGCUUUCAGCAGGGAAGAGUCAAGACUGUACCUGCAGAAGAAGCCCCGGCUAACUACGUGCCAGCAGCCGCGGUAAUACGUAGGGGGCGAGCGUUAUCCGGAUUCAUUGGGCGUAAAGCGCGCGUAGGCGGCCCGGCAGGCCGGGGGUCGAAGCGGGGGGCUCAACCCCCCGAAGCCCCCGGAACCUCCGCGGCUUGGGUCCGGUAGGGGAGGGUGGAACACCCGGUGUAGCGGUGGAAUGCGCAGAUAUCGGGUGGAACACCGGUGGCGAAGGCGGCCCUCUGGGCCGAGACCGACGCUGAGGCGCGAAAGCUGGGGGAGCGAACAGGAUUAGAUACCCUGGUAGUCCCAGCCGUAAACGAUGGACGCUAGGUGUGGGGGGGCGAUCCCCCCGUGCCGCAGCCAACGCAUUAAGCGUCCCGCCUGGGGAGUACGGCCGCAAGGCUAAAACUCAAAGGAAUUGACGGGGGCCCGCACAAGCAGCGGAGCAUGUGGCUUAAUUCGAAGCAACGCGAAGAACCUUACCAGGGCUUGACAUAUGGGUGAAGCGGGGGAGACCCCGUGGCCGAGAGGAGCCCAUACAGGUGGUGCAUGGCUGUCGUCAGCUCGUGUCGUGAGAUGUUGGGUUAAGUCCCGCAACGAGCGCAACCCUUAUCCUUUGUUGCCAGCGGUCCGGCCGGGAACUCAAAGGAGACUGCCAGUGAUAAACUGGAGGAAGGUGGGGAUGACGUCAAAUCAUCAUGCCCCUUAUGAGCAGGGCUACACACGUGCUACAAUGGCGUAAACAAAGGGAGGCAGAACCGCGAGGUCGAGCAAAUCCCAAAAAUAACGUCUCAGUUCGGACUGCAGUCUGCAACUCGACUGCACGAAGCUGGAAUCGCUAGUAAUCGCGAAUCAGAAUGUCGCGGUGAAUACGUUCCCGGGCCUUGUACACACCGCCCGUCACACCAUGAGAGCCGGGGGGACCCGAAGUCGGUAGUCUAACCGCAAGGAGGACGCCGCCGAAGGUGGGGUUGAUGAUUAGGGUU